UUAAAAGGGCCACACUUUAGUUUAUCAAGAGCCUAUAAAAACUACACUUUUUCCCAACUGCAUAACACGAUUACAUCAAAGAACCUGUUUUAAAAGUAAUAGGCUUCUUAAAAAGUAUUAUAAAGUUUUCCAUACAAGAAAACUGAUAGACCAAGUGUAUUUUCUUUUUCUUUAUAGCACAGAUCAUAGUAUAUUAAAAAUUAUGGUAGUUUAUGUUUCUAGGAAGGAAAGUGUAAUUAUGGGCUGUGUUUCAAAGCAUGAAAGCGCAACAGUUUGGGUUUUAUAAAAUACUUAUCUUCCAGUUUGGAAAAUUGAAAAUAUGUAAGUGGUCUGGUAAAGUUAGCCUCAAUAGCUGCCUGGAACUUUGAUAAGAAAUCACAGGCAGAGUAGACCAUUUAUCUAAGGAUCAGAGAGAUCAAUUCUGGAUUUCCACACAUAUUCGUAGCUGGAGGUAUUGCUCUAAAAAAAAAAACAAACAAA